ACGUAGGGACCAAGCGUUGUUCGGAUUUACUGGGCGUAAAGGGCGCGUAGGCGGCAAAUUAAGUCAUCUGUGAAAUCUCCGAGCUUAACUCGGAACGGUCAGGUGAUACUGAUCUGCUAGAGUGCGGAAGGGGCAAUCGGAAUUCUUGGUGUAGCGGUGAAAUGCGUAGAUAUCAAGAGGAACACCUGAGGUGAAGACGGGUUGCUGGGCCGACACUGACGCUGACAGCGCGAAAGCCAGGGGAGCAAACGGGA
rnacentral:rRNA from 1 species